AUUGAACGCUGGCGGCAUGCCUUACACAUGCAAGUCGAACGGUAACAGGUCUUCGGAUGCUGACGAGUGGCGAACGGGUGAGUAAUACAUCGGAACGUGCCUAGUAGUGGGGGAUAACUACUCGAAAGAGUGGCUAAUACCGCAUGAGAUCUACGGAUGAAAGCAGGGGAUCGCAAGACCUUGUGCUACUAGAGCGGCCGAUGGCAGAUUAGGUAGUUGGUGGGAUAAAAGCUUACCAAGCCGACGAUCUGUAGCUGGUCUGAGAGGACGAUCAGCCACACUGGGACUGAGACACGGCCCAGACUCCGACGGGAGGCAGCAGUGGGGAAUUUUGGACAAUGGGCGCAAGCCUGAUCCAGCAAUGCCGCGUGCAGGAUGAAGGCCUUCGGGUUGUAAACUGCUUUUGUACGGAACGAAAAGCCCCGGGUUAAUACCCUGGGGUCAUGACGGUGCCGUAAGAAUAAGCACCGGCUAACUACGUGCCAGCCGCCGCCGUAA
rnacentral:rRNA from 1 species